AUCUGACGGUCGGAAUAAAGGCAUUAAAAUGGUCGGAUUAAUGGUCAGUCGACAUUAUGGGACUAAAACAAUACAACUCGCCGUAGACCUGCAUGGUCAGAUUAGCGGGUCGGAGUUACGGGUAGUCGGACCCCCUGGUGGCGCCACUGACGUUAGAUGUCGACAGGAGUCUUAACAUGGAACAAAAGUCAGCAUUAAGGCUGGAAAGUGGAGAACUGCAUCAUGUUGAUGAAAAAGAAGACAAAGAUCAACAGGAUGUCGACAAACCUGAAGACUGUUCACUUGUUCCCACAGAGCGUUUCGACAUCAGUCCACCUGCAGUGAUCUACACAUUGAAACACAAAAUAACGUCAUCAGAAUUUUAAGUUGUUUUGAUUUAAAGAUUAACGUUGUUGUACACAUUCAAACCAACCUCAGUGUAUGAAAUAAAAAAGUGGAUGAAUUAUCUUUCAAAAUGUUUCCAAGCUUCACCUCUCUGAAACCAGUGAUGUGAUUAUAAAGUAGCUGAAUGCUGCCAUCUUGUGGUCUCAUUGGAUAUUACAUAAACACCUGUAUCCUGAAUACUUCUGAUUAAAGAGACUCAUGUAUCCUCA